rnacentral:lncRNA from 1 species
CCAGGCGUUUGAAAAGCUCUCUGUCACUUGGCCGAAAGCAAAAGAGAAACGCAGCACGUUCCCCGGCGCGGCCUGCGCGGGUCGUUGUGGGCGCAGAUAAAUCACCCGGCGUUUGAAUGGCAUCGGUGACAGGUGAGUUUCCUUCUGUUGCAAAACAAGCCGCAAGGACGCGUCAGCGUUGCAGCCCGCAGGGAAGGGGAAAGUCGUGUAUUUGUGAGUGUCUCUUCCUUAUAAGGGUAUUCGGUCUCGUUGCUGAGCGCCGGUACCCUUGCGGGAGGGAGGAUUUGCUAGCCUGCCCAAGUGUCCCGGGCGGAGUGACUUGCGAUGUAUAAAUACAGAGCGGGAAUACGAGGGCGACUGCGGCCUCAGCUCUGCUGUAGACUGCGCCAGAAUAAAACCGCAGGGAAGCGCGCAAGGGCUGAAUAUGGCCUUUGGCGAUGAUUUAUUUAAAAAAUAAAUACAAUUAGAGAGUGGGGUUGGAGGGAGGAGUGCAGGACAUGGGGCUGGGGAGGACAAACAGCCCCGAUCCAGCAAGGCCUGGAGAUGGAGGAUGAGCAUGAGUCCAAACCAGACAGGAGGCCAUUUUUUUUACCCGUUUCUGAUGCCGUUUCCCUGCCCUCCUUCUUCCCAGAGUGCUCCGCGGGGAGAGGUUGGGUCCGCCCAGGUGUUUGGCAGAUGCUGCUCAGCUCCCCGGCUCGAGAGGUCCCCGGAUCCUGCAAGGAGCUUUCUGCCCUGAGCCUCCAGUCACGUAGAGGCUCCAGCGAGUUCAAGGAUAAGGGGGCGGACGCCGUUCAGGUAUUACUCAUUUGCCGGGAGCUCGAGAGUCAAGUACGGUCAUUUAGCAACAACCGUCCUGGUUAUAACCAGAGCGAACGUGGUGCGUUCUCGGCCUGGAUCGCUUUCGAUGGCCGCUUGUCUCCAAAAAGCGUAUCCCGUAUCCCCGCAGGCACCCACUGCCAAAGACCCGAUUUCAUCAGGCCGGGUAGGGCUGCUCGAAGCCCUGGGGCAGGAAAGCAGAAGGGAGGAAGCCAUUUCCAAAAGGGAGAGCCAAGGGUGGUAUCUCCAGCGGGGUAAAAAGCGCCUCCUUUUCCCUCCUUCCGUCCUCACACCGUUCCCCGCCUCCCGCCCUCCACGGCGCAUCGAGCAUCCCCCUUGCAGGUGUCCCCGACCCUCCUGCGUCACUCGGCCCUCGCCCGUGGAGCUGACUCCCGCUGAGCUUCUGCGCUUCCUGCUGGGCGAGAUCCGCAGAGAAGGAGGAACAGCAGCCGCAGCGGCAGUCCCUGCAGCGAGGCCGAUGGGCGUACACGCACGUCUGCCGGCAGUGCUGCAGAGCUGCGCUUCCACGCUGAUACGCCAGCAGCGGAGAGACCCACGCGCGGGCAGCGGCCGGACCGAGAGCCGACGCUCAGUUGCUCGGGAGCGCGGAUUACCUGCCUGCCCAAGCAAGCCGUAG